rnacentral:rRNA from 1 species
UACGGGGGAGCAAGCGUUGUUCGGAUUUACUGGGCGUAAAGGGCGCGUAGGCGGCCUCUGCAAGUCGACUGUGAAAUCUCCGGGCUUAACCCGGAAAGGUCAGCCGAUACUGCAGGGCUAGAGUGCAGAAGGGGCAACUGGAAUUCUCGGUGUAGCGGUGAAAUGCGUAGAUAUCGGGAGGAACAUCAGUGGCGAAGGCGGCUGCCUGGCCCAAUACUGACACUCAGGUGCGACAGCGUGGGGAGCAAACAGGG